AUAAACAAAUAAAUACAAAUAAAAUAGAUAAAACGCGAAAUUUGAAAAAUUAAACCGAGAGAGCCGCACUGUACAAUGCGCGCUCUGAUGAAGUUUCGUUUGCAGCGCGAGAUCUCGCUAAGCAUUUAAUCACAACGGCUAGAAAUUGUUUGCUAAGUGGUGGUGGUGCAAGUUGGCCACCUUUUGCCUUUUGGCACGAGAAAACAUCUGAUGGUGAUCAAUCCAUAUCUAAUGCCAAACAUGUGUUUAUCACCAAUCUUUUCAAGAUCUAUCUAUAUCCCACAAGAUCUCUCUUCCACCAUGUUUCUGCUUGUCAUUUCAGGGGCUCGCGAAUCUGUUUGCAUGGCAACAGGCCGCAUCACUUGCUUUCUUUGCGUCUUUGUCUUGUAUCAAUAAGGGGUGCAAAUGAGUCGAGCAGAGACGACAAAAACCAGAUUGGUUUAGGGCUGUGCGUGCGGAGGCGGAAUGAUAAAUCAUUAUCUCAAACACGUUUUGAAUUUCAGGAGUUGAUAUUUAGAUUUUGUGUAACAUGACUGAUUGAUUUGAGUGUGUUCCUUGUGCAGGUAGCGAUGAUAAAUGGACUUGGGCAGCAACACCAGAUGGUAGAUUCUCUACAAAGUCGGCGUAUGCAACGAUCAAAGCACGUUGCCAGGAGAAUCCAAGGGCGAAUUUUGAAGCGAAGCUCCUCAAUUCGGUUUGGAAGGCAAAGACUCCUGAAACCUAUUUUGACAGCUUGGAGGUUGCUGGAAAAUCGUCUCCCUACAUGUGAUAAUUUGUGAAAAAGGAAGGUGCCGUUGAGCGAAGAAGAGGUCAAGUGUAGUGAAUGUGGAAUGCAAGAAGAAACGGCAAAUCAUGUGUUCCUUUCAUGCCCAAAAACGAAGAAAGUGUGGAACGAAAUGCAAAAGUGGCCGAGAGUCGCAACGGCACAGCCAAACGAGAUCGAAAGACAUCUAGGUACGUUUGCUUCCUUCAAGAAUGAAAAGAAGAUAAGAAAGUUCCUCUUGGCUACUUGGGUGUGCUACAUUUGGCUUUUGUAGAAGAAGAGGAAUGAGAAAAGUUUCAAUAAUGAGUGGGAGUCCAAAAAACUUGCUAUGGAGAUCAAGAUUAGGAUGUGGAGUUGGAAUAGGAUUUUUGGGAUUGUUGAUGAGGAGAUUGAUUUGAACUCCUGGUGUGAUUAUGAUAUUCUUUGUAAACUGAUGUAAGGCUAUUGUUCGGUACCUCUGGUACCAUUUUUCUCCUUAAUAUAGUUCUCUUUUUCGAUCAAAAAAAAAAAAUCUUUGAUCUCAUAUCAAAUUUGGAGCAUAAUGAUGAUUAUGAAAUAAGUUCUAUAGCAAGUAAGAUGAGGUUUAAGCUUGGCAAAUAUUGACUUGAGGAAGAAGCUUUGAACCUAAGGAUGAAAGAGAUUAUUUCCAUUGCUUGUGACGCCCAGGACAGAAGUAUUGACUGGCUCCUAUUAAGGCUUUGAAGCGGAGGGUAACAUGAAUGAAGCGAAACACACCAAAAAUAGAGGGAUUCCAAGAAUAUGCAGGUAUGACUGCAUAUUCAAUGAGAGCUUAAAUGAUUUGAUUUGUAAUACUCAAACUAACAAUAUGCAUCUUUUUUUCCGAUGACCACGUUGAAGAAACUCCAAGGUUAAACGUGCUUGUCUUGGAGCAAUUUCAUGAUGGGUGGCCAUUGGAAAGUUUCUUAAGGAUCAUGCAAGUGAGAACAAAAUACGCUAGAAAAGACUUGUGUUGUGAGGACAACCGUCAAGUCUGGAGCCGGAUCGCUACAUUGUUGCUGCAUUAGAUCCAAGGCGAAAGAUGAAGCAUGUGAGAAAUGCUUGUAAUCAGUUUAUGGACCUGAAAGAGGAUCCCCUUUAACUAGUGAGGCUACAGACUCAAUGAAUGAGAUGUUUGAGUUUUAUAUGGGUUUGUAUUCGGUGAAUUUGUCUCCACCUCAAGCACCUAGUACCUCCACUAUAGCUCCAUCUCAAGGGCGUAGAGAUCGUUGAGCCUGUCUGGCUUUGGAGAGUGACGAAGAACCUGAUCAAUCUAUUAAAAACAAGCUUACACCCUAUCUCACUGAGAAAAAACACAAAUUGACAAAUGAUAAAGUUGAUAAGUUAGAUAUUAUGUAGUGGUGGUCAAAGAAUAGUCCACGGUAUCCCAUUCUAUCUGAGAUGGCAAAGGAUAUAUUGGCCAUACCCACUUCUAGUGUCGCUUCUGAGUUCACAUGAGGUCGUGUUCUCUCCCCGUAUAGGAGCUCAUCCAGUAUGGUUGAGGCUUUAAUUUGUGUUGAGGACUAGUUCUAUUAACAAAAAAGAUGAAGGUGUGCCUUAUGAAGAGUUAGAAAGGGAAUUUCAAAUAGGUAAGUACAUUUCAGUGU